AAGAUCUUCAAGGGGUUGCAAUGGAUUUUUUUCUAUGGUUCAUAGUCAGAGCCCCAAAUAUGAUGUCCAUGGCACCACUUCUAUUUGGAGCAUCGAGAAGGAACAAGGAUAAUAAACUGUUCUAAAGCACUAGUUCAAGAACAGCCUUGUACAGUUUCCUUUUACUCACAGAAGCAGCAAAGAGAUAUGAAUGACAUUUGGAGAGUAAGAUUGCUGAAGAUAUCAGCAUCCCAUCAAAGAGACAAAUUCAGCUGUCUAACUAAGACAUCUUGUUUUUCUAAUGUAGCAUUCCUCUACACUUCCU